CUAAAAGGAAAGAAUACACAGAGUACAGUUGGAUAGAAGAGGAAGAAUUCUAGUCUGACCUGCGGUGGUUAGAGGAGGCUUCUAGGCAGAGUGAGUAUCUGUCCUGAAGCUUAAGAGCCAGAAGUUACCAGCAAGGAAGAGGGAAGGUCGGUUAUGUAGUCCUCUGGAAAUAUUAGGUAAUGCUUCAUUGUGGCUGGAAUGUUGAGGGUAUAUGACAUUUGAGGACCCUGAAAUGUUGAGGAUGAAGUUUGGAAUCUACUCAGAUCUUACAGGGAUAUUAGUAUUCCAUCUAAAGAUGUUUGAAGUUUAUCCUGAAGGUGAUUAUUAGGGAUACAGCAAAAUGGAAUUAAAAUUUUUGAAAUAGAACUAUGGGGUGGGUUUCAUUGGAGACUUGUAGACCAGACUCGUAGACCAGGUUAUCGUAGUAAUCUGGGUGAGUAAUGAAGGCCAAAAGUGAUGAUGGGCACAGUGGUACAUGUGCCCUAGUUUGUCUGUUUUGGGGUAGAGGGAAGGAUUCUCUUCUGGCAACAGGAGUUAGCAGAGGAAUUGCAAUAACAUUCAAUAAAUGUGGAAUCAGUAAGUUGUGCAGUAAAUGUUGGAGCAAUGAAUUGUAGAGCACUUACUGCAUAUGUCUGUUCCUGAAACUGGAGAGAAGGAAGAGAGAUUAAUUAAAGAAGGUUUUAAUGCUUUGUCUUGGAAUGGUGCUCAGUUCUUACUGGAAAGCUGAAUUUUCUGGUAAAGGAGUGUUGGGUGCUCUGUAGUAAAUAAGUAAACAGGUUAAUUCCUCAGCAGAAUAAAAAAGAACAUUAUUAAAAAAUCAUGAUUAAGAAGGUAGUAAAACUUACGAUUUUAUAAGUGGUAUCUCUGUUUGAUAGGAUAUCCAGAAAAUUGGAAAAUGUACAACAAAAAUAAAGAUGACCUUGUCACAAUCCAAAGAAAAACAGUGUAGUAAAAGCACUUUUUUCUUUAAAAUGAUAGGUUGGGUACCAGUGGAGAAAACCAGUAAACAGUAUUGCUGGCAUUCCUCUGUAGUUAACUGUGAGUUUGAAAUCGCCCUGGUGCUGAAGCAUCAUCCUGAUGAGCCUGGUCUUCUGGAAAUGACUGCAGUGCCGCUGUCUGAUCUCUUAGAACAGACACUGGAGCUUAUAGGAACAAACGUUAAUGGAAAUCCAUGUGGUUAGGAAGCAAGAAGCAUCUGUUACAUCUUCUCAUACCACAUGGAGCAUUUCAAAUAAGAAAUCUACCUGGCUUGAAGCACAGUGAUCUGUUGUCCUGGUUUGAAGGUUGCAGAGAGGGUGCUGGAAAUACAGAGUCAACAAAACAAUGUCUCUGCCUUCAUGAAGCUCACAUUCUAAUGGGGUAGACAAUAAACAAGAAAAUAUGUAAUAUGUCAGGAGGAGAACAGCUGUGAAAAAACAAGGGUCCACCGCCAUCAUCUUGGUUUGUGCUGGCCAAUCCCAGAUACUUAUCUGAAUUCACAACCAGUUAUAAUCAACAUGAACCUGAACAAAUAUGUUUAUGCCUUUGAUACUAAGUGUUUAUUUAAUUAUUUUUCAAAAAUAGAUAAUCAGAAAUUUAGUAGGCUGAAAGAUAUAAUACUUGAUAUAUAAACUGGAAAUGCCAUUAAAAACCAGCUUUAUUGUUAUAUUUGAAUCUUCAAUACCCCGCAUGUUCAAAAGAUAAAAAUGGCUCACGGUUCCUAAUUAUUCAGUGCCUAAUAUAGCAAUAUGUCUUCCAGCAUUUGAAGAAAUGAAUUCCCCAAUUGCAAAUAUCUAUUCAAAAUUUUAUUUAGAAUCAACGAAUGAAUUUUACUUUGGACUUGAAAAUAUAAUAGUAAGCUCUCUAGUUUGUACAAAGGUUGGAUUCUAUCUAUCAUAAGAGGGUAGGAGUUAAAAGACAACAAUUAAACCAACAAUUUUAGAUAAUUUAUUUUCAAAAUUAAAUAGUUAAAGCUGAAUUUAAUCUUAUAUAUUGAAUAAAACAUGGCUCAACUUCACAACAUAUAUAUAAAUGAUUUGAGAAUCUUAACACAUGUAAGUAUAUAUAAAACUCCAAUUUUAAAAUCAUUUUUUACCCUCAUACCAAAAAACUUCAAACACAAACAUACAGAAAUGCAUCAUAGCUUAUUGCCUGUUUGAUAAACCAUAAAUUACUCUAAAAGUCUUCAAAAAUAUACUUUUCUAAUAUGUUAAAAAUAUCACAUAGUUUUAUGUACUAAAACUUCCAAUUUAGGUAAAAGUACAAGGUAUUGGGAAGGAAUGUAGCUCAGAGACUUGCUUGACUUCCAGGUUGAAUUUUAACUUAAUGGGGAAAUAAGUAGGACUUUCUUCUUCAUCUUCCAGCUGUUCAGAAGCAGCAACAGGACUAGUUAAUUCAACUCCAAACUGUUCAGAAACUUUUUACAACUUCUCUUCCAAAAGAAUGUUUUUUUCACUUCUUCUUUGUAAUUAUACUUUAGAUCUUUGAUUUCUUGAAAAAAUGAAGGAUCAAAAUUUUCCAGUUCUUUCUUCAGCUUUUUUACUUCCUCCUAAUAGAAACAUACAAUCUUGAAAAGCUGUGUCGAGGAAUAUAAUAUAUUUUCUAGAUUUGAACGAAGGAGAUUUAGUUACAAACAUGAAAGCCAAAGUAACCUGAAUGGUCAAAUAUAAAGGCAGAAGUAUGUCCUUAAGAUUUUGUUCUUAAGGCCUCAUUGCACAGUAUAACUCACUUAACUUGUUAACUGUCAAAUCAAAUUAUUUGUUAGUUAUGUCCUAGUCUUUGACUAAAAUUUAUCAACUCUUAAAUUACAGGGGAUUGACUCUUUAAGGAAGUACUUACUCCCAAUGUAGCAACCAAAAAACUUGGCUAUUCACAAUGUUGAAGUUAUUUUGGUUAAAAUUCCUUGGUUUAUAUUUUCUUCAUAAAUAUCUAAUUUUUAAUGAAUAAUGGUCAAAUUCUUAUAAGCAUAUUUAUGAUCAGGGAAACUGUAGGGCUUCUGCCUGGAAAAGAGGCGUCUUGUAAAGAGACAAUUUGAGCUUUAAUGACCACUUAGAAUGGUCACUAGUCAAUUCUCAAAUUCAUGCUCCUCUGUUUACAGAUUCUUAGAUAAAAGAUAGCAAAUAUCUUUCUUUAAAGGAGCUAUUCCUGAAAAGUAUUUCAAAAUAAUCACUGUUCUCAAUGUGAUUCCAAAAUUACAAGUUGUUGAUGAGCUGUAUCUGUGACAAUGAAAAAAUUAAUUUACCCUUUAAUUCUAUUUGUUUUGUCUAAGUUUCUUUUGGUAGCUCUUAAGAAAUAUUUAUUUUUAACACAGAUGAAUAUAAUGAACUUGGCAAUAUCAAGGUCAGGUAUAAGAUGCAUUUUUAGGAUACAUACUUAAAACUCAGAUUACCAUCAUAGAACUAGUUUUCAAAAAACAUAGUGCUAUAAUAGAUAUAAUUAAAUAUCUAAUUACCAUGAAGUGCUGCUUUUCUAGAUCUGAGGUUUUGAGCUGUGUUUCUAGAUCUUUUACCUUUUCUUUAGUUGAUAAGGAUCUGCCAAAAAAAUUAAAAUCAGACUUAGCCCUUUCCCAAUCUGAUAAAGGAUUUGUUUAAGAGAAUAAGGGAAAAACUCAAUGGCACCAGAGCCUGGAAAACAUGGCAUUUUAUGGCUGAAACACUUUUCAGGCUGUGAAUCCUGUAUGCUAUCCGGUAUUAUAAUUCCACGGCAGACAAGGACGAGGCAUCUGGUAGGUACCAGAAGCACAGAGUCAGGUUAACUCUUUAUGUGGAAGAAGCUAUUUUCCAGAGAAAACUUCUACAGACAAGAAAAUUUGUUAGGUACCAGAAGUACAACAGAAGCACACCUGGCCUGUGAAAAUACGCCGGUGAAAUGCUUCUGUUCCCAAGAGCACUGGCUAUUCCAUGUCGGUACACUUAACAGUGUAAUUACUAUGUAAAAAUAUUCUGAAUUGGUGGUUAACACAAAGAUGAAUAAAACCUGCUGACUUUGGUAGGAAACACAAGUAUACAACUAUAGCACAAGGACUUCAAUUUACCAUAGUUAACACAUGUCUAAUAUAACAAGAAUCAAUGGGCAAUAGGACUAAUUGCCAUCUUUGCUAGAAACUUAUAUUUUCUUUAAAUACUACAUAUGAUGUGUCUUGUGGUCACAUUUUACAGCCACUGAAGGGUAAAAUUGUUUGAAUAGUGCUAGUUAGAGAAAAUACUGGACAACCAAUGCACUUUCAUGAAUGGGACAGGAAGCACAUUCUAUUAAGGUGCCCUUGGAACAGUUUCCUCCCUAAUUAUAAGUUGGAGACAGGAAAUUUUUUCCAUAUCCUCCCUUAUGCGAAUGGAGUCAGAACUCACCUUCCUUUGGAAGGCAGAGCAAAAUCAUACUUUUCAAAGCUCUCUUCACCUUUGUAGAAAGUGUUGAUUUUUUUACACAGUUGGUUCACUCUCACUGGGAUGCUAUAUAUAGUGAGUUGAUUGUCUUAGUGGGACGCUACAUGUUACACAGAUUGGUAGGGAAAUAAUGCAGUAAAAGUAUUUACUGUGCAUCGCACUUUACAAAAGUUAGCUUAGUGAAAACUUGUAUUUGAAUAGUGCCUUAGAAUUUGCAAAAUAGUUUUGGUUUGAUUCUGGGCUUUAACAAUAGUUUAAAUAUGAUAGGAUCCUUAUCUCCUAGAAGACGAUGAGGGUUCAGAAAUUCCCUCUCAGGAAACUGAGGUUUAGAAAGAACUUGCAUAAUGUCAACAGCAUUAACAGGUGGAGGGCACUGUAUCUAGUAAGAUGAAGCUGGCAGCCCCAGGACUGUUGAGAGGUUUAUGUAUGCGGCAAUGCAGUGCAGUGGACAGCAGGGAAAGGCAAGCAGUGUUGGAGUUUCAUAGAUCUAGGUUUCAUCCUGCCUCUGCCACUUCCUGGCUGCAGUGACCUUGGGGACAGGAUACUUAACCUCUUUGAAUCUGUUUAUGGAGUCAGUGAUACCCACCAUACAGACUUAUAAUCAUUAAAAUGUAAAAUGCUUGUAAAGCACUAAGCAUAGUGUCUGGUACAACUCAUACAGCAUAGUCUUAAUACAAAAGAGCAACAGGACUGUGUGGUAGGAUACUGAAAAAGCUAUAUGAAAAUAGUCAAAAACUGUAAUAUACAAAUAUAAAUUGGUAUUAAUUGUUUGGGAUAGAAUUUGGCAUUUCCAUCAAGCUAUCAAAUAUACAUACAAAUAACUGAUUCUCAUUUGCAGUUCUGUUCUAGAAAGUCAACAUGAACAAUGACUAGGUGACGGGUCAUUUCUCUUAGAACACAUACACAUAUAUCUCACAUAGAUUAUAAUCUUAAAUCCUGGAAACAUUUCAUCUUAGUAGCUUAUACGUUCUUUUACAAAAGAGAAAACGAAGUUGAGAAGUGUCAAGUGACUUCUGAGGCUGCACUGCUAACAAGUGUCAGAGCAGGGAUCUAAAUCCGUCCAGUUGGCCCCCAAACCGGAGUUUCUUGGCUCUUUACGGCACUGCCCCCUACUGUUUCCUUUCUCUGAUCACCUCUGUAUGAAAGCUGGACAAGCGCAGAACCUGUUGGAGUUCAUUUGUUAAGUGUGGGUCAUAACUUAAUUUUUCGCUGCUCUGUAUCUCUGCAAAAGCACCAUGAGUACUGACUUGGAGGUUAUGAGUAAGUUUUAGUGAGUAGGAGAAUUUGCAAGUACAGAAUCUGCAAAUAAUGGGGAUCAACUUCAUUUUGUGUGUGUAGAUAUAUAUAUACACAUGCAUUAAGUCUAUAUGUAUACACAUACAUACAGGAGUCAUUACUUCUGAAUGCAAAUGGGAGGGAAUAGAAGAACAGACUGACUUUGUAAAAGGAAAAAAUAUAGGCAAGAUGACUUACGUAGUUUUUAAAUUAUCAACAAGAUGACAGUAACAUUUAGAAGAUAAUGUUCAGAGGGCUUAAAAGGGCCUGUACUUAGAAACUGGAAGCAACAGACCUAAUAUUAAAUAUGUAACAUCCAUAUGGAACACAAGGAGCAAAAACACUUGGAAUAGUUGCUACUCAAUAUUACAAACAGCUCAAUUUAUUGUUGCAUGGAGGAAACAUUUCUAAAAACUUACAUUAGAGAUUUGGUUUUCUAGGAAGAUAGUUACCAAAAAUCUGAACAAACAAAAAAGGCAAACCUUAAUUCAAAAUCUUGGGUAAGUAAACUUUCCAUUAUUAGUUAUAAAAUACACUUACCAGGUAUGGUGCUUUCAGCUCCACUUUGGUUUUUAUUAACUUCUAUCUGAUGGAUUAACUCUGCUGUUUCUUUCUCCAGCUGACUUAGCAAGCCUAGAACACAGUGGUGAUGUGUUGAAACAAAAGCACAGACAUUGCUCCGUGAACUAUAUGGGCAUUUCUAAAGAACUGUAUGAUGUACAGUGCUUAGGACUUGCUUAUAUUUAUAAAGGUAAACAUUUAUUCAUUUAUCAUCACUGCUGCAGUGCUACCAUUCUCAGAGGUCAUGAAAUCAAAAUUCUUCAUGUUUUUCUUAAAAUCUGACCUGAUGUCAUUUUGAAGAGCAGUUUUCCUACCGGAGGAGUCUCUUGAGAGUAUGUUACACAGACCCUCGCAGUGAAGAAUUGUUUUUCUCUCUUUCAUUAUUUUGUACCUCUGGAAAGCUAAUGUCUGAUAUAUUCUAUGCUGUUAAAAUUUAAACUGAAUUACAAGCUUGACACCCGUAUUAGGAUUUGGCUUGCCCUUUUUUUGUAUCUAUGAUGUAGAAGAAUGGCAUAAGAAUAAAAAUAGGCUGAUAAGCUAUUUGGCAGCAAGGUUAAAAAAUCCUCAUCAUCUCUAGACAUAACAAACCUGGUUAUAUUAAAAGAUAAUUAAGGGAAAAAAAGCAGGUGAACAGAUAAUGUGCCUAAGAACUUGAAGCUUCCGCCGAAGACUUUGUUCUGUCUCAUCACCUUCAGGAAUAUGUUUGAGAAUCUCAAUCUUUGGGCACAAUGAAAAGUCGGAAGACAAAGUUGACAUGGAAAUGUAUGAGGUUUUAUAAAGAUACACAUUUUGAAUAAAGCAAAACAUUAAACAUGAGCACACAUUUAUGGUGUUCUGUUCAUUAUUCGUUUAACAGUUAUUAAGUAACUGCUCGUGUUAGGCUUGUCUGAGGCAUAGAGGAUACAACAUGUGAAAGAGGAAACCAGAUGCCAGAUCAUGAAAACAGCCUUUAAAUUUCAUUCUGGGAUAAUUAGGGAACCAAUGGAAGGUUCUAAGAACGGGACUGCUGUGAUUUUCUUUGUUUUGUUUGCUUGGCAAUUACGUGAAGAAUAGACUGAGUCAGGGAGAAGGUGAAACAAGGCAAGAGUAGGAGCCGGGAGACCAGUUAGGAAAAUUUGCAAUAGUUCAGAUGUGAGAGAAUAGCUUGGCCUCGACUGGCAGUGUUAGAGGUGCUGAGACGUGGUCACAUUCGGGACAUUUUGAAAAUAGAGCUGAGAUGAUACAAUAAAAAAGAUGUGGGGUAUGAGAGAAAGAAAGGAAUUAAUGACCCACGGUUUUUGGUUUAAACAAAUGGGUGAAUAGUGGCGCCACUCUUAGACGGGCCACCUGGGGAAGAGUUAAUAGUUCAUUUUUACCUUCAAAAGACAGUACCAAGAAGUGGCUUGACAUACAACAGAUUGUCUUACCAUGUGAAAAAACAAAAAAC